rnacentral:tRNA from 1 species
CAAAGUGUAGCUUAACUCUAAAGCAUCUAGCCUACACCUAGAAGAUAUUAUAUGUAUAGUCACUUUGA